UAGACGUUAGUCUAACCAAGACAGUUGAUUUCGACUCAACAGAUCUGGCCUAACCCCAGACGUCUAC
rnacentral:tRNA from 1 species